CAGAGGCAGAGAAGAGCAGAGCAGCCAAGCAAAGUGAGAGACCAAGAGAGAUGGCUACGUCCAAGGCAUUCCCAGCUCUGGUCCUUCUGGCGCUGGUCUGCGGCCAGCUCGUGGUCGGCGGCCAUGCCCAGGCGUACAUCGGAGGGGGAGGAUCUGCUGCCGGACUGCGGCCACCGACUUCCACCACUACCCAUGGCCACUCCUCCACCAUUGGAGGAUACGACGGAGCUGCAUGGCCUUCAGCCAUGGAAGAAGACAAGGCCUUCAUGGUCAACAGCCUGCCGGCGCACGACCGCCCAGUACCUGUCCUGUCUACCGGUCACUAGUCCGUCUAGGCAACGCAGCUGAGCUUGAGAUCAGCCGCCCAGUGGCCAGCACUAAUAACAAGAAUAAAUUUGUGUGAAGUUGUCCUGUUUGCAGGGUGACUCUGUUUCUACCAUCAUCAUCAGGGGUAUAAAAGCAGAGUACCACUGAACUAGUACUGAUAAUGUACUGUUGAGAAUGUUGUGACUUCAGAGAGCCAUCAAGGGAACACAUAUAAGUUUAUCCCAAAGUUUCAUUUACUUCUUACCGAAAAACAAAUAAAAGUACUGUUGAGAAAGUUGGGACUUCACAGUGGUUUCAAGGGAACAUAUAUAAGUUUGUCCCGAAAUUUCGUUUACAUCUUACCAUAAACACAAUA